GGCCGUGAUGAGCAUUACUUACUUCUGACACCUCUUGUAUGAGAAUGAAUUCCAUGAGCAGAUUAGCAAUCCUCCGUGCU
rnacentral:snoRNA from 2 species